GAUAAUCAAGGAGGUGAUGGAGUCCAGAUGAGUGACAGAUAUAGAGAAGAUAAUCAAGGAGGUGAUGGAGUCCAGGUGAGUGACAGAUAUAGAGAAGAUAAUCAAGGAGGUGAUGGAGUCCAGGUGAGUGACAGAUAUAGAGAAGAUAAUCAAGGAGGUGAUGGAGUCCAGGUGAGUGACAGAUAUAGAGAAGAUAAUCAAGGAGGUGAUGGAGUCCAGGUGAGUGACAGAUAUAGAGAAGAUAAUCAAGGAGGUGAUGGAGUCCAGGUGAGUGACAGAUAUAGAGAAGAUAAUCAAGGAGGUGAUGGAGUCCAGGUGAGUGACAGAUAUAGAGAAGAUAAUCAAGGAGGUGAUGGAGUCCAGGUGAGUGACAGAUAUAGAGAAGAUAAUCAAGGAGGUGAUGGAGUCCAGGUGAGUGACAGAUACAGAGAAG